AUGGCGGCGAAGGUGCUCCAGCUCCGUAGCUCCGACGGCAAGGUGCUCGUCGCUCCGGCGUGGGACUAUCGCCCGGCCGCCGCCCAAGCCCUCCCGCUAGAGACGCGGGUGUCCUCGCGCGCCCUCGAGAGGGUGCUCCAGUACUGGACCAAGCACAGCCUUGCCAAGGCCACCGGUGAGUCCCGGGAGUCCCUGGCCCGCUGGGACGCCGACUUCCAGCGCCGCCUCGAGGAAGACGGCCUCGCCAAGGAGGCCGCCGCAGCCGCCCAAGAACUCCGCCGCUACGGCGUCGACCAUGGAGGGCGUCCCCAUCACCACGCCGCCACGGCCGCAUCUGAUGUCGCUGCUCCUGCCAAGGCGGCCCGUGUUGAUCCCGUCCGUGUCUGGUGUGUCAACCACGGAGAACGCAGCCAUGCGCCGGCGAUGCCCGGCUCCUUCGAUGCCUCUGAUACUGCCACCACCUUGCCGGCCGCUGCUGGUGCUGACCCCGGGGACGUCCGGUGCGCGAUCCGUGCCCGUGGGCG
rnacentral:rRNA from 1 species